UCAGGAAUGAUGACGUAGGUGUCACAGCACAGAAACAAACAGGACUUCUGUGUUCCUCCACUGCUGCCUGAAUCUGUAAAUUCCUUUUACAGAGCCUCUGAACAUACUUGACAUGUGAUGAAAUCCCAGUUUUGUUACAUGCUGGCCAUGUGACCCUGGAGGCAGCUCCCUGUUUGGCACAGCCCUCAACACAACUGUGGCAUCUAUUAAAAUCAACACUAGGGAUCCUAUCAUCUAGUGGUAGCUGCAAAUCAUCAAAUUCUUCAAGAAUGCUUGAAAAAAGCCAUUGCUGGCCAUUUGUAAGAGCAACAUGUGCAAACCACAGAAGAUGAGGAAAGAUGUCCAAAUACGGGAUGCAAUUCAAAUCUCUACUCUGAGUGGAUACCAAGAAGAAGCUCUUGGCUCCUGGCUUCAUAUAAGCUCAGCUCCAGCCCUGACAGUCCUUUGGGGAGUGAACUCUGUUU